AGCUCCAAUAGCGUAUAUUAAAGUUGUUGCGGUUAAAAGCUCGUAGUUGGAUUUCUGUUGAGGUCGUCCGGUGUACACUUUGUGUAUUAUUUGGUUCGGUCUCGGCAUCCUCUUGGGGAGCGUUUGGGACCUCGCGGUUUUCGGCGCUAUUCAAGACUUUUACUUUGAGGAAAUUAGAGUGUUCACGGCAGGCAAGUGCUAUGAAUACAUUAGCAUGGAAUAAUAAUAUAGGACCUUUGUUCUAUUUUGUUGGUUUCUAGAACUUAGGUAAUGAUUAAUAGGGACAAUUGGGGCAUUCGUAUUAACGCGUCAGAGGUGGAAUUCUUAGAUUGCGUUACGACGAACUACUGCGAAAGCAUUUGCCAAAGAUGUUUUCA
rnacentral:rRNA from 1 species